CCUACGGGAGGCAGCAGUGAGGAAUAUUGGUCAAUGGACGCAAGUCUGAACCAGCCAUGCCGCGUGAAGGAUGAAGGCGUUUGCGUUGUAAACUUCUUUUAUCUGGGAAGCGGUACCAGAAGAAUAAGCACCGGCUAACUCCGUGCCAGCAGCCGCGGUAAUACGGAGGGUGCAAGCGUUAUCCGGAUUCACUGGGUUUAAAGGGUGUGUAGGCGGAUAUUUAAGUCAGCGGUGAAAUCUCCGGGCUCAACCCGGAAACUGCCAUUGAUACUAUUUAUCUUGAAUUCUGUUGAGGUAGGCGGAAUACAUCAUGUAGCGGUGAAAUGCUUAGAGAUGAUGUAGAACACCGAUUGCGAAGGCAGCUUACUAACAAUAUUGACGCUGAGGCACGAAAGCGUGGGGAUCAAACAGGAUUAGAUACCCUUGUAGUC
rnacentral:rRNA from 1 species